rnacentral:misc_RNA from 1 species
CUCCGGUUAAUUAAGGGGUAUUUACCGGAGGAAAACACAACCCUUAUGGGAGGAAUGCAAGAUCAUAUUUAAGCAAAAAGUCUACAACCCAAUACAGCAAAUGUGGCCUGACAUAAAAAGAAGCUAAUUACAACAGACGAUAUUCAACCUGCUUAAAAGAAAAUAAGGAUACAAACUGCAGAGUUUCUCCAGUGUCCCGUUCAGUGCACAUGAAUUACAUUCAUUGCGCUGAUUAGACAUACCUGACCUGUAUUCUGCUAAAUCCCAUAAGAAAAUCAGUUUUUUUUUUUUAAUUAAACAAAGGCCAAAAAUGACUCGGUACAUUCCUUUCAUCCAUGCUUAUGGCCUCACUGCUACUGCAUUAGGGAGUUCCAGCUUCAGCCCCACUCACAUCUACACCAGUAGAAGUGGAUGUUCUGUGUGAUGCUGCAAUAGUCAUGACUUCUCCAGGAGGUGGGUGGUCAAAUUUGCACGUUGCACCAUAUUUGCACGUGCUGGUCUUCAUGUAAUAUGGGCAGUGAACAGCACCCUCUCUCCUAGGUAAUCCUGCCAGAGUGAGCUUAACUGUUUGCUCUUGAGCUUGCUUUGCUGUUGAUGCAGACCUAUCAAUUGGGUGAUGGAACCUGCAUCUUUCGCCAAACUUACACUCGCCAGUCUUCAUAUAGUAAUCACAUUCUGUCUGUCCAGGUCGUUGAGGGUAGACAGUGGGUCCCACUCCUAGCGUUGAAUGCGCCAAUCUAGGGUCAAGAGUUUGAAAAAUUGAGGCAGCUGGAACAACCCCAAUGUUCAGAUUAGCUGCAGGAGUGGCUACAAUGGAAUGCCCUAUAGCAGCAGCAGGUGGAUUGAUUGCAUUCCUAUGAGGAUGAUUAUAACGACAAGUGGCACCAUACUUGCAACUGCCGGUUUUCAAGUAGAAUGGACAAUCCACUUCACCCGGUCUAAUUGGAAGUCCUUUGGAAUUAUGAAAUAAGGCUGGGGUGAGUGAAAUGGAAGCAUUAGCCACAUUGAAAUGUCCAGCUAUUUCAUCAAUGUUAACUGCUGAUUCAGUCUGCCAUGUGUUACCAUUCUCUUGUCCUAAUAGUAUCUGGAUAUCUUUUGGAUGAU